rnacentral:rRNA from 1 species
GACGGAGGAUGCAAGUGUUAUCCGGAAUUACUGGGCGUAAAGCGUCUGUAGGUGGUUUAGUAAGUCGAUUGUUAAAUCUUGGGGCUUAACUCCAAAACAGCAAUGGAAACUGCUAGACUUGAGUAUGGUAGAGGUAAAAGGAAUUUCCAGUGGAGCGGUGAAAUGCGUAGAUAUUGGAAAGAACACCGAUGGCGAAGGCAUUUUACUGGGCCAUAACUGACACUCAGAGACGAAAGCUAGGGUAGCAAAUGGGAUUAGAUACCCCAGUAGUCCUAGCUGUAAACGAUGGAUACUAGAUGUUGCACGUUCACCGCAGUGUCAUAGCUAACGCGUUAAGUAUCCCGCCUGGGAAGUAUGCGCGCAAGCGUG